GAUGAACGCUAGCGGCAGGCCUAAUACAUGCAAGUCGAACGGUGUCUUCGGACAUAGUGGCGCACGGGUGCGUAACACGUAUGCAACCUACCUUACAUUGGGGGAUAGCCUUUCCCAAGGGAGAUUAAUACAGCAUAAGACAGUAGCUGGGCAUCCAGCAGCUGUUAAAGAUUUAUCGAAGUAAGUCGGGCAUGCGUCCAAUUAGCUAGUUGGUGAGGUAACGGCUCACCAAGGCAAUGAUUGGUAGGGGAACUGAGAGGUCAAUCCCCCACACUGGCACUGAGAUACGGGCCAGACUCCUACGGGAGGCAGCAGUAGGGAAUAUUGGGCAAUGGACGCAAGUCUGACCCAGCCAUGCCGCGUGCAGGAUGAAGGCGUUAUGCGUUGUAAACUGCUUUUAUACAGGAAGAAACGACUCUUGCGAGAGGCAUUGACGGUACUGUAUGAAUAAGCACCGGCUAUCUCCGUGCCAGCAGCCGCCGUAACAC
rnacentral:rRNA from 1 species